GAUGAAGAACGUAGUGAAAUGCGAUAAGUAGUGUGAAUUGCAGAAUUCAGUGAAUCAUCGAAUCUUUGAACGCACAUUGCGCCCCUUGGUAUCCCGAGGGGCAUGCCUGUUCGAGCGUCAUUUCACCACUCAAGCCUGGCUUGGUGUUGGGCGACGUCCCCUUUGGGGGCGCGCCUCGAAACGCUCGGCGGCGUGGCACCGGCUUUAAGCGUAGCAGAAUCUUUCGCUUUGGAAGUCGGGGCCCCGUCUGCCGGAAGACCUACUCGCAAGGUUGACCUCGGAUCAGGCAGGGAUACCCGCUGAACUUAAGCAUAUCAAUAAGCGGAGGA
rnacentral:misc_RNA from 1 species